CGCACAUUGCGCCCGCCAGUAUUCUGGCGGGCAUGCCUGUUCGAGCGUCAUUUCAACCCCUUCAGCCUCUGUUGCUGAGUGUUGGGAGGCUACGCCUCAGCGUAUCUCCUUAAAUGUAGUGGCGGGGCUCGUUUGGCUCUAGACGUAGUAAAAUAUUUUUAUCUCGCCUGUGAGUUAGACGGUCUCCGGCCAUAAAACCCCUAUAUUUUUAUCAAGGUUGACCUCGAAUCAGGUAGGGUUACCCGCUGAACUUAA
rnacentral:misc_RNA from 1 species